rnacentral:lncRNA from 1 species
GUUGAAUUAUUUAUUUUGUCGAUUCGUCCAUAUUAAAAUAUUUUUGUCUUCUCUGUUGAGGCAUAUGCAUAUGAUAGAAAGAUUUCAUAUCAAAUGUACUAAAUCUGGGGUCCGACGUCUGCCGGUGAACUUUUCAUUCUCUGAACCACUUAAAAGGAUCAAUAUAUGAAUCUGUUAUUUUUCUCCAUUGUUGAAGCAUAUGAUAAAGAGAUCAUAACAUUUCAUUUUUCAUACCUCAUGUAUUAUCAGCCCUUGGUCAAUAUAAGCCCUUGAGCCAUGCGGCUCUUGGGCUGAUAAUACAUGUGAUAUGAAAAAUGCCAUUUAAUAAUCUGUUAUUAAUAAAAUGUCAUUUUUCAAAUCGCAUAUAUUAUCAGCCCUCGGUCAAGAUCAGCCUUCAAGCCAUGCAGCAAAUGAGCUCUUAGGCUGAUACUGGACCUAGGGCUGAUAAUACAUGCCAUAUGAAAAAUGCCAUGUAAUAAUCUG